AUUUCAUACUUAAAACAAUAUUCUAUGCAAAAUGCUAUAAUUUCCCCUUGCCUCCAAUUUACACAUGAUAAAACUGAGCCUAGUAAAAUUAAGUAUCAUGCCCCAAAGUUCUCUGCUUAGUAAGAAGUAGAGGCAAGCCCAAACCUAAGUCAUCUGAUUUCAGAGCCCAUACAGUUAAAUGCUCUAAAUGCAGCUUCCCGUGAUGAUGGUGACUAUGAGAGCCUGUCACAUAUGAUGUAGGACAGUGCUUCCCUGUAACAUGCACAAGAUUCCCGUGAUGAUGGUGAUUAUGAGAGCCUGUCACCUACGAUGUAGGACAGUCCUUCCCUGUAACAUGCACAAGAUUCCUGUGAUGAUGGUGACUAUGAGAGCCUGUCACAUGAUGUAGGACAGUGCUUCCCUGUAACAUGUGCAAGAUUCCCGUGAUGAUGGUGACUAUGAGAGCCUGUCACAUAUGAUGUAGGACAGUGCUUCCCUGUAACAUGUGCAAGAUUCCCAUGAUGAUGGUGACUAUGAGAGCCUGUCACAUAGGAUGUAGGACAGUGCUUCCCUGUAACAUGCACAAGAUUCACCCAGGGAUCUCUUUAAAAUGCAAAACCAUAGACCACACUUUGACUGGCUUGGAUAAGGGGUCAGAGCAUCGAAAUGAGUGUGUAGGUGACUGUGCUAAAAUUCUCCUGCUCAUGUGGGCACUGGCUCAUGAUAUUAACAAAGCUUAGGACCUCUAGUCCUUUCUGGAAAGAAAAUACACAUACAUAGCAUGUGACUGUGCAUAUGGAAUAUCUGUUGUGUUCUGGACAUUGUGCUGGACAACAGAGAUAAGAAGUCAAAUAUCCCUUGUCUCUAUCUGAAAGGAGCUUCC
rnacentral:lncRNA from 10 species